AAGGGUGCUUAGAUACCAAGUGCAUUCAACCUCCCCACUUCUAGCCAGCGAUGGGAUCUCGUUAACGCUGCUCAGCCUGACCUCAAACUCCUGGCCUCAAGCAAUCCUCUGGCCUCAGCCUCUCAAAUUGCUGGGAUUAUAAUCCUGAGCCACUGCACCAGGCCUAUUCAGAAUUCUAAUAUGCAACUGAUUCUUAGUGAUAACCAAGAAAUAAAGACUUGGAGCUCAAAUUGUG